rnacentral:rRNA from 1 species
AGAGUUUGAUCAUGGCUCAGGAUGAACGCUGGCGGUAUGCCUAACACAUGCAAGUCGAACGAUGUCUUCGGACAUAGUGGCGGACGGGUGAGUAACGCGUGAGAAUCUGCCUCUAGGAUGGGGAUAACGGUUGGAAACGACCGCUAACACCCAAUAUGCCGUAAGGUGAAAAAUUUAUUGCCUGGAGAGGAGCUCGCGUCUGAUUAGCUAGUUGGUGGGGUAAGAGCUCACCAAGGCUUCGAUCAGUAGCUGGUCUGAGAGGAUGAGCAGCCACACUGGGACUGAGACACGGCCCAGACUCCUACGGGAGGCAGCAGUGGGGAAUUUUCCGCAAUGGGCGAAAGCCUGACGGAGCAAUACCGCGUGAGGGAGGAAUGCCUUUGGGUUGUAAACCUCUUUUCUCAGGGAAGAAGAUCUGACGGUACCUGAGGAAUAAGUAUCGGCUAACUCCGUGCCAGCAGCCGCGGUAAUACGGAGGAUGCAAGCGUUAUCCGGAAUCAUUGGGCGUAAAGCGUCCGCAGGUGGUUUCCAAAGUCUGCUGUUAAAGACUGGAGCUCAACUCCGGAACGGCGGUGGAAACUUGGAAACUAGAGUUCGGUAGGGGUAGCAGGAAUUCCCAGUGUAGCGGUGAAAUGCGUAGAUAUUGGGAAGAACAUCGGUGGCGAANGCGUGCUACUGGACCGUAACUGACACUCAGGGACGAAAGCUAGGGGAGCGAAAGGGAUUAGAUACCCCUGUAGUCCUAGCUGUAAACGAUGGAAACUAGGUGUGGCUUGUAUCGACCC